AGCGAACGCUGGCGGCAGGCCUAACACAUGCAAGUCGAACGAACUCUUCGGAGUUAGUGGCGGACGGGUGAGUAACACGUGGGAACGUGCCUUUUGGUUCGGAAUAACUCAGGGAAACUUGUGCUAAUACCGAAUGUGCCCUUCGGGGGAAAGAUUUAUCGCCACUAGAGCGGCCCGCGUCUGAUUAGCUAGUUGGUGAGGUAACGGCUCACCAAGGCGACGAUCAGUAGCUGGUCUGAGAGGAUGACCAGCCACACUGGGACUGAGACACGGCCCAGACUCCUACGGGAGGCAGCAGUGGGGAAUCUUGCGCAAUGGGCGAAAGCCUGACGCAGCCAUGCCGCGUGAAUGAUGAAGGUCUUAGGAUUGUAAAAUUCUUUCACCGGGGACGAUAAUGACGGUACCCGGAGAAGAAGCCCCGGCUAACUUCGUG
rnacentral:rRNA from 1 species